UACGUAGGGGGCAAGCGUUGUCCGGAAUUAUUGGGCGUAAAGAGCGUGUAGGCGGUCCGGUAAGUCGGCUGUGAAAGUCCAGGGCUCAACCCUGGGAUGCCGGUCGAUACUGCCGGACUAGAGUUCGGAAGAGGCGAGUGGAAUUCCCCGGUGUAGCGGUGAAAUGCGCAGAUAUCGGGAGGAACACCAAUGGCGAAGGCAGCUCGCUGGGACGGUACUGACGCUGAGACGCGAAAGCGUGGGGAGCAAACAGG
rnacentral:rRNA from 1 species